rfam:Pseudomonas putida strain TASWS0946 Contig187, whole genome shotgun sequence.
AGAAGACCUCCCAAAAAUAAAGCCUGAAGGGGCGAUCGCAGGUUGCAAAAAAGCGGAAUGACGUAUAGACACGUCACCCCGC